rnacentral:lncRNA from 1 species
CACGUGGGCCAGGCGCCCCGCAGCCUGAUCCCUCGGCUGAGGCGGGGUCAGAGGGCUAAGGGUGACUGACUGCCCAGUGCAUGGAUCUCAGCAGCACGGCUUGACUUUCGGGCGGCAGGCAAGGAUGCUAAUCCACAAGGUUCCUGAGUCCAACAUCCCUCCCUCCAAUGUGGGGCUCGAAUCCGCUAUUGCAACCAAACCCGGGUUCUGCCCGCAGGGUGGCGCAAUGACAAGAGCCACCAGGUGACCCUGGUAACUCCCGCACCUAGACCUACAGGAGCAGUUUUUCUGCAGCACCACAUCUGUAGCCCUGCAUGCCGCUGGCUCCAGUGUUGUGUGUGUGGUCAUGCUCCAUCCAGCCCAGCAGCAACUUUGGUGUUUGACACCCCUCGGGAGGCACCGCUUUGGAAGAGACUGGUAACAGCAGGGUGGGACCGGCUACUUAGCUGUUCUCAGUCUGAAAGGAUUCUGGAAAGGGGCUCUAUUUAACCCAAGCACUGGAGUCCAACACAGCCUCUGCCGUGUGACAGGUGUGUGCGGAGCCCAAGAUGUGUUGGGAACAGCUAUCGUUUCUACUGCUUUGUCCCAUGCCUCUGGAGCUCCUGGGUUCCUGAACUUCAAGCUGGGCCCCAUCCUUCACCCUAUCAGGGCCCUGGGUGGAGCUGACUUCCAACAGUAUACAGUGGGUCUUGGUACUUCCUCCUUGGCAUUCGACAGUUGGUGUUUUUGAAGUCAGAGCCAUCCUCAGUAGGCUCCUAGGGGAUCGUAAGCGGCUUUCUCUGGGUGGAAACCUACUCCAUGCAGCCUUCAGCAAAGGAUCCUACGGCUGUUGAUCCCCUCGGAAGUGAGACAUAAUGUCCCGGAGCAGAUGCUGAUGGGGACUCACUGUUGGGCCACCUGAUUUCUGUGUUCAUCUUCCCAGGCUCCACCUUUCAGAUCCCAUCCCUGGUGUCUGCAGUUACAACUUUACUAACCAGAACUUUGUUUCCAGCUUACGCUGAAAAGCAAAGGGUGACUUAGAAUAAAAAUGUAACAAAUAGCCCCAUAGCCCAAACCUUUUCUGCCAUGAUUUACUGUACCAGAUACCUAUAAGUGUCCAGGGCAAAUUAAAC